AUGUUUUUUUUUUGUUUUUUUGUAUUCUUACAGCGUUUUAUAGUGUUUCAGUGUUUUAUUGUACAAUGUUUGAAAAACUGUACAGGUCAAAUUCUUCAUCUGACUGAGCAUAUUGAGGAAGGCUAUGAGAAAGGCUGCAUUACGGGAACAGUUUUUGUGGACCUUACGGCAGCCUAUGACACGGUGCAACAUAGAAAAAUGCUGCAUAAAGUCUACCAUAUCACCCAGGACUUUGACUUUACAAAAACUGUCCAGACCCUCCUGGAAAACCGCAGCUUCUAUGUGGAGUUUCAGGGCCGGAAAAGCAGAUGGAGGAGGCAAAAGAAUGGUUUACCCCAAGGCAGUGUUCUUGCACUGACCUUAUUUAACAUCUUCACGAACGAUCAGCCACUACCACCACUCACAAAGAGCUUUAUAUAUGCUGAUGACCUUGGCCUUACAACACAAGCAAAAGAUUUUGAAACAGUUGAAAAGCAACUCACUAAUGCCUUGAAAGACCUCUCCAGCUACUACAAAGAGAACCACCUGAAGCCUAACCCUGCCAAGACACAAGAGUGUGCUUUCCACCUAAGUAACCGCGAAGCCAACAGGAAACUGAGAGUUACUUGGGAAGGCCAAGAGCUCGAACACUGUUUCCAUCCUAAAUACCUUGGUGUCAUGAACAUCAAGCACAAAGUAGCUGCACGCAACAACAUCCUGCGGAAACUGACUGGCAGCACAUGGGGUGCAGACCCACAAGUAAUAAGAACAUCAGCCCUGGCCUUGUCUUUCUCAACUGCAGAGUCUGCCUGUCCUGUUUGGCACAAGUCUGCCCAUGCGAAGCAGGUGGACAUAGCACUGAAUGAAACAUGCAGAAUCAUCAUGGGAUGCCUUAAACCUACACCUGUUGAUAAACUCUACAAGUUAGCUGGCAUUGCCCCUCCUGACGUGCGACGGGAAGUUGCUGCUAACGGUGAGAGAAAGAAGGUCGAACAUUGUGAAAGCCCCCCACUGCAUGGCUAUCAGCCUCCUCCCACCAGACUCAAAUCAAGGAAGGGCUUCGUGAGAACCACCACUCCUCUGGAUGUUCCUCCAGCAACAGCAAGGGUGUCUCUCUGGGCAGCUAAACCAGGCAAUCCCAAAUGGAUGCCCCCCCCCCCCACGAGGGUGUUCCUUCCUCCAGGGGCAAACCAAGAAUGGGCAACUUGGAAGUCCCUAAACAGACUGAGAAGCGGAGUGGGCAGAUCAAAAGACAACUUGGCAAGGUGGCACGACCUGGAGGAAUCCUCCACCUUGUGUGACUGUGGAGCUGAACAAACAACUCCGCAUAUGUAUGCUUGCCCACAAUGUCCUGCCUCAUGCACGGAGGAGGAGUUGUUUAAAGCUACGGACAAUGCGGUUGCUGUUGCCCGCUUUUGGUCCAAAACUAUUUAG
rnacentral:lncRNA from 1 species